UAAGUUCUCAUAUAAAGUUACACUUCAUAGGAAAUUUUACUGGUCUUAUAUCCAUUAGCCAAAAAUCUCAGGUGCUUAAGUUUGUGGAAAAAUAAGCUACUGUCUGUUGAAGUUUCAAUAAAACAGUCAAAAAAGUUGAUGUUAAAGAAAACUGACAUUGAAAACUAACAUUAUUUUAAAGAUUCAAAGGAUUUUUUUCUUUUUCAGCUUAUCUUAGAUGUACUAGAACUCUGCAGGAGUUGGUUACUUUCAAAUAUCCUAAAUAUCUUAAAUAUUUGCAUGUUGAAUUUGAAGAGGACCAGCAGCUAAGAAAAGUCUACAGACCAAAGAAGUCCUUCAGGAGCCAACUCUUCUUCAAGGGUCACUAUCAAUGCCAGAUAAUCAGUGGUUGUGAUGUAGAUAGAACUUGCAUAUACAACAGUACAGUAGAGAAGGUAAAAGGAAAUGGAAUGUAAAAGAGUAGUAAUGUUGCUGCUACACAGCAUAACAGAACUUAGCUUACUGCUUCAGCUCUGAAAACAAAAGGAAAAUGUAGACCUCUUCAGAGGUCCCUUCCAAUCCUGUAAUUCUAGAAAAGACACCAGAGAAGACACAAAACUAACUCCUGUCUUCUCAUGUGGCCAUCAGUAGUACUACUUACCAGUGUCUUCAUAGAGGAAAUGACUGUGCAAUAAUUGUGAUGCAUAGUAUUUUGGUACUUUUCACCUUGCUUAUGUGCAGCCAAAGAUUUGUGGUGGCUGUAGGAAGACUACAUAGUCUUAAUAACAAGAUUCUAAAUGCUUAGAGAAAUUUAUGAGAAGUUUAUCUUUCUUUUCUUCUCCCAUAUUACUUUAAAACUGUCUAUUCUGAAGUCUGUAAGGAAGGAAGAUCCAGAGCAUCUGAGCAACCUGGAGGGUUAAAAGACUCUGACCUAAUUAGUUGAACCAUUUGAAGACUGACAAAUUUGUAGCAAAACUAGGGUACUCAAGGUUUUCCUUGCAUUUUUUCAAAGAAAAGGGAUGUGUAUGUUUCCACUGACUAAUGAAGAAGUCUGACUUUGGAAAUGUAUUUUAACUUAAAAAGAAUCACGUCAAACUACCAAGAACAUUCAAAAUCAAACCCACUACCUUCUGUAAGCCAUAUUUUCCACCUCUGGAGAAGACCUGCUUCCUAGAAAAAGAAAUGAUGACAUCCAGUGGCCUCUUACCUCAGUAAGCUGUGCACUUCUGAGCUAUUUUCUUUGAUUUACCUGUCCAGGCACUGAAGCAGGAAGUACUCAUUGAGCAGACCAUAUACAACCUUUCAGUGUGGUUUAAAUUACAGAUGCGGUCCAAUUGCAAAUGGUGAAGUUUGUAUAUAAGACACCUCAUCUGUAUACCUUGCCCACUAGUCUGGCUUACAAAAGGCCAUAAAUUCUGGGUGUUUUUUUCUAUUAAGAAGCUCAAAGUAAUUAUUUGGAAGAAUAAUCAGAAUAUUUAUUGGAACAUUUGAUCAGAAUAUUGCUGAGGAACUAUCCUUAAUGUCCAAAUAUUGUAAGUAAAUGAUAUAUAUUUAUAUAGCAUGAAUGCUGAAGUAUAUGUAUAUAAUACAUAGUUCAUAUAUUUGCCUGUAAAAAAGGAUAGGGUCAGAAAUCCUUCAAGUCUUAGUGUUCAUAAAUGCAUAGCUAUAUGAUGUAAAUAAAUAUUUGUACCUGUAUUUUGACUUGUUAAUCAAUUCCUCACAACUGACACAUUCACUUUAUUUAGAAAUCUGUUCUAUUGUUCACAGAAUGAACUUAAUCACACACACAGGCUCUGGCCCAUAUUUGAAUGGGAUGGAUAUUAAACAUUGCACCUCGGUCUAUGCUUUCUCCUUAGUAUGACUCUUGGUGCUUCCUGUAACUACUCACUUCAAAAUUAAGGCUUGUGUCAUUCAUUCAAACAUAAUUUUCCGUAUUUGUCUAACAUUUCUGACUCAGAAAUGUCAGUAUUUCCAUUCUACUGUUACUAUUAGAAGCAUUGCUAUUGUAGCAACACAUGGAAACCUGACUCCAGGACCAGUUCCUAUUGUGCCAGGUGCUGCCCAUGCACUGAACAAAAGUUGGUUUCCACUCCAGGUUUUUAAGCCUGUUAAGUGCUUUGAGCUGUAAAGCAUUGAGUGGAUAUAAAAUAUUGCAGCCCAUUUACAAAAUUUGUUUAAAAAGAUAAUAAGGUUCUAAAGUGAUUUGCUUUUAACAA
ensembl:lncRNA